ACCAACAGGGAUUGCCUUAGUAACGGCGAGUGAAGCGGCAACAGCUCAAAUUUGAAAUCUGGCGCUUUUGGUGCCCGAGUUGUAAUUUGCAGAGGAUGCUUUUGGCGACGUGCCUUCCGAGUUCCCUGGAACGGGACGCCAUAGAGGGUGAGAGCCCCGUACGGUCUGGUGCCUAGCCGCUGUAAAGCUCCUUCGACGAGUCGAGUAGUUUGGGAAUGCUGCUCUAAAUGGGAGGUAAACUCCUUCUAAAGCUAAAUAUUGGCCAGAGACCGAUAGCGCACAAGUAGAGUGAUCGAAAGAUGAAAAGCACUUUGAAAAGAGAGUUAAAUAGCACGUGAAAUUGUUGAAAGGGAAGCGCUUGUGACCAGACUUGGGCUUGGUAGUUCAGCCGUCCUUUUGGGCGGUGCAUUCUGCCGGUUCAGGCCAGCAUCAGUUGUCGGUUGGGUAGAAUUGUAGUGGGAAUGUGGCUCUUCGGAGUGUUAUAGCCCGCUACGCAAUGCCCUCCUGGCGACUGAGGUUAGCGUUUUCACGGAUGCUGGCGUAAUGGUUAUCAGCGACCCGUCUUGAAACACGGACCAAGGAGUCGUCCUGCUAUGCGAGUGUUUGGGUGUUAAACCCCUACGCGAAAUGAAAGUGAACGGAGGUGAGAGCUUCGGCGCAUCAUCGACCGAUCCUGAAGUUUUCGGAUGGAUUUGAGUAAGAGCAUAGCGGGCCGGACCCGAAAGAAGGUGAACUAUGCUUGAAUAGGGCAAAGCCAGAGGAAACUCUGGUGGAGGCUCGCAGCGGUUCUGACGUGCAAAUCGAUCGUCAAAUUUGAGCAUGGGGGCGAAAGACUAAUCGAACCUUCUAGUAGCUGGUUUCUACCGAAGUUUCCCUCAGGAUAGCAGUGUUGAUUCUCAGUUUUAUGAGGUAAAGCGAAUGAUUAGGGACUCGGGGGCGCUAUUUAGCCUUCAUCCAUUCUCAAACUUUAAAUAUGUAAGAAGCCUUUGUUGCUUUAGUGAACGAAGGCAUAGAA
rnacentral:rRNA from 1 species